rnacentral:rRNA from 1 species
UACGGGGGGGGCAAGCGUUGUUCGGAAUUACUGGGCGUAAAGGGCGCGUAGGCGGCAUAUUAAGUCAGCUGUGAAAUCUCCGAGCUUAACUCGGAACUGUCAGCUGAUACUGAUGUGCUAGAGUGCAGAAAGGGCAAUCAGAAUUCUUGGUGUAGCGGUGAAAUGCGUAGAUAUCAAGAGGAAUACCUGAGGCGAAGGCGGGUUGCUAGGCUGACACUGACGCUGAGGCGCGAAAGCCGGGGGAGCAAACGGG